CACGUAGGGCGCAAGCGUUGUCCGGAAUUAUUGGGCGUAAAGAGCUCGUAGGCGGACUGUCACGUCUGCUGUGAAAAGCUGGGGCUUAACCCUGGCCUUGCAGUGGAUACGGGCAGACUAGAGGUGAGUAGGGGAGAAUGGAAUUCCCGGUGUAGCGGUGAAAUGCGCAGAUAUCGGGAGGAACACCGGUGGCGAAGGCGGUUCUCUGGGACGGUACUGACGCUGAGACGCGAAAGCGUGGGGAGCGAACAGG
rnacentral:rRNA from 1 species